GCCUAACACAUGCAAGUCGAACGCGCUUUCUUCUUCGCAAGAGGACGAGAGCGAGUGGCGGACGGGUGAGUAUCACGUGGGUACCUCCCUUGAGGUGAGGAAUACCCCCGAGAAAUCGGGGACAAGACCGCAUAUGCUCUCAGCGAGAGCAAAGUCACUUUGGUGACGCCACAAGAUGGGCCUGCGGCUGAUUAGCUGGUUGGUGGGGUAAGAGCCUACCAAGGCGACGAUCAGUAGCUGGUCUGAGAGGAUGAUCAGCCACACUGGGAUUGAGAACGGCCCAGACUCCUACGGGGGGCAGCAGUGAGGAAUUUUCCGCAAUGGACGCAAGUCUGACGGAGCAACGCCGCGUGCAGGACGAAGGUCUUCGGAUCGUAAACUGCUUUUCUUGGGGACGAGUACGGACGGUACCCAAGCAAGAAGCCCCGGCUCACUACGUGCCAGCAGCCGCGGUAAUACGUAGGGGGCAAGCGUUGUCCGGAGUGACUGGGCGUAAAGGGCCCGCAGGCGGUCGUCUGCGUUCGCACUGACAAUUGGUCGCCUAACGACCAAAGGCGUGCGAAAACGAGACGACUUGAGGGAGACAGAGGGGACACGGAAUUCCGGGUGGAGUGGUGAAAUGCGUAGAUAUCCGGAAGAACACCGAUGGCGAAGGCAGUGUCCUGGGUCUUCACUGACGCUCAGGGGCGAAAGCGAGGGGAGCGAACGGGAUUAGAUACCCCGGUAGUCCUCGCCGUAAACGAUGACCACUAGAUGUCCGGGGUAUCGACCCCCUGGGUGUCGUAGCACACGUGAUAAGUGGUCCGCCUGGGGAGUACGGUCGCAAGAUUAAAACUCAAAGGAAUUGACGGGGACCCGCACAAGCAGCGGAGCGUGUGGUUUAAUUCGAUGCAACGCGAAGAACCUUACCAGGCUUUGACAUGCUCUUGAGCACGGUGGAGACACCGCUCCCUUCAGGGCAGGAGCACAGGUGCUGCAUGGCUGUCGUCAGCUCGUGCCGUGAGGUGUUGGGUUAAGUCCCGCAACGAGCGCAACCCUUAUCGCUAGUUAUGUGAUGUCUAGCGAGACUGCCGCGAUCAACGUGGAGGAAGGUGGGGAUGACGUCAAGUCAGCACGGCCCUUACAGCCUGGGCGACACACACGCUACAAUGGCUGGUACAAUGGGGAGCCAACCCGCGAGGGGGAGCCAAUCCUAUCAAAACCAGUCUCAGUUCGGAUUGUAGGCUGCAACCCGCCUGCAUGAAGUUGGAGUUGCUAGUAACCGUGAGUCAGCACAUCACGGUGAAUACGUUCCCGGGUCUUGCACACACUGCCCGUCAC
rnacentral:rRNA from 1 species